AGAAAUGGUGAUAACCAGCAGAGGAGACUGAGAUUGGUGCCUGUAACUUCUUCAGUUGCCAGAGGCUUCACAGAAGGUAAAUCCUGCUUCAGCUACAAAAAAGGCACUAAAUAAGACUCAGAGCAUGAUCAGGCACCAAAUUUGCUUGUACUCUGCACACAGUUCCAGGUGCACUCUGGCAGCCAGUGUAUAAUCACCAUUGUUACUGGAUCACAGAAACACAGAACAGGUGAGGUUGGCACCUUUGGAUCAUGUGGUUG